rnacentral:rRNA from 1 species
AUGGCAGCGGCCGGGGCUGGUCUUCUUCUUGGCGCACGUGCGUUACCUCUCCAAGAUCUACGAGCUUGGUGGCAGGUUGCUCAUCCUCUGAUGCUCGCUUGCUCACCCUGCUCGGCGUCUACCACCAUGCCAUCAUCAUUGUCAUGCUACCUCUGGCUCGCCACUGGGAUGGAGUUCUCAUGUGGAGUUGUUUGGAUGUGCGUGCAGGUGCAAGAAAUUCAGGAAGUUGGGCAAAGAAGGGUCGUUCUGGAGGCCAUCACUGUUGCGCAUCGCCGUCCGGGCCAAAAUCUUGUCAGAUUAUGCGUGGACAUCAGCAACCUCGAAGCAUGCUACCUUGUUGGAAAUUAUCCGAUUGUAUUUUUGGGGAGCCGGGAGGCAGGAGGAAUGCUGGUGAUGACCGCGACGGUGGGUGACACCGCCGGGAGGCAAUGCACUCCCUGGGUGUCGUUCAAUUAA